GAGUUGCUCUGCUAGGAUAUUCUUCUCCUCUAUGAGCUGGACAGAGGGAACAGUUUGAAAUAACUUAUCCAGCCUUAUUAGCUACGAGACGAUGCGGUUGGGGAAGCCCUGUCUGCAGAUACGAAUGCCCUCUAGGACUCCAUUACACCUCAGCUGGUCCAGAACCAGGUGGCACCAAAGGCUGUCUCGUUCAUUCCUGCCACCUGGUCCAGGCCCACGAUGCGGUCGACUGGUGGGGAGAUGGGGAGAACUGGUUAGAGUGGGAA